UUGAAGGGUUUGAUCCUGGCUCAGAAUGAACGUUGGCGGCGUGGAUUAGGCAUGCAAGUCGGACGAGAAGUUUCCUUCGGGAAAUGGAAAGUGGCAAACGGGGUAGUAAGGCGUAGGUGACGUACCCUCAGGUUCGGGAUAGCCACGGGAAACCGUGAUUAAUACCGAAUGAUCUCUUUUUGUAUGGUGCAUUGAGAGCAAAGGUGUGAUUCCGCCAGAGGAGCGGCUUACGUGAUAUUAGGUAGUUGGUGAGGUAACGGCUCACCAAGCCUCAGAUGUCUAGGGGGUGUGAGAGCAUGGCCCCCACCACUGGGACUGAGACACUGCCCAGACACCUACGGGUGGCUGCAGUCGAGAAUCUUCGGCAAUGGACGCAAGUCUGACCGAGCGACGCCGCGUGCGGGAUGAAGGCCCUUGGGUUGUAAACCGCUGUCAGAGGGGAUGAAAUGCGAGAGGGCUAUCCCUCUCGUUUGACAGAGCCUCAGAGGAAGCACGGGCUAAGUACGUGCCAGCAGCCGCGGUAACACGUACUGUGCGAACGUUAUUCGGAAUCACUGGGCUUAAAGGGUGCGUAGGCGGUUUAGUAAGUAGGGUGUGAAAUGCCAGAGCUCAACUUUGGCACGGCGCUCUAAACUGCUAAACUUGAGUGAGAUAGGGGUGUACGGAACUUCCGGUGGAGCGGUGAAAUGCGUUGAUAUCGGAAGGAACACCGGUGGCGAAAGCGGUACACUGGGUCUUAACUGACGCUGAGGCACGAAAGCCAGGGUAGCGAACGGGAUUAGAUACCCCGGUAGUCCACGCCGUAAACGUUGUAUACUAGGUGUUGGGAGAUUCAACCCUUUCAGUGCCGGAGCUAACGUAUUAAGUAUACCGCCUGGGGAGUAUGCGCGCAAGCGUGAAACUCAAAGGAAUUGACGGGGGCUCACACAAGCG
rnacentral:rRNA from 1 species